GAAGCUGAUGCUGAAGACCAAUCUCAACUCAAAACCUCAAACCAAUCCCCAAUCAAGUCUAAACCCAAGACCUACCCAUGUUCAAGGAAGCUUGGCUUGUAUAAAGCCAAUGGGAAUCAGGAUGUUUAGACUCAAAGGUUAACCGAAGGAAAAGAUCUGGGACAUAGAAAGAGGUGGGCACACUUGACUGCAAAAGGCAAAAAAGCGAGGAGAAGAGAAGUUAUACAACUGCAGCUAAGAAGACGGAAGGAGUGAUUUUCCACAUCUCUCCAUCCAAAGACACAUCGGCAAGACGACCCUUGCAUCAGUGAGAUCCCAGGGGGCGGGAGAGUUCUGCAGAAGAAAAGGAGAAAAAUAAACCCUCAGACUUUUUCAGCAAAUGGACAGCAUUCAAGGAAGGAAGGAAGGAAGAACUUUACAGAGGUGGCUAUGCAAGAACGGAGAGGACACAGGACUGCAAAGCGGGGUGUUAUGUUCGCUGUUAUCCUAUACAUUCAGGCCAUGAAAUGAUAAGAUGCCAACUCUCUAAAUCCGUAAAGUUCUACUUUUCUAAAGAUCUGAGGAAUUUCUCUCCUAAUCAGCAACAAAUCAGGUCAUGAUGUUCAGAGCCAAAGCACUUAACCAGCAGGCGUCCUUGUUUUUUGGUCAAGAUUGAAGGUUUAGUACUUCUAAAGCCCAUAUGUAGGUUAGCUGUUGUUUUAUCUUAGAGUAUAAUCUUAGAACUGCAGUAGCUGGAAGGGACCCUACGGAUC